UACGUAGGGUGCAAGCGUUGUCCGGAAUUAUUGGGCGUAAAGGGCUCGUAGGCGGUCCAUCGCGUCGGGAGUGAAAAGCUGGGGCUCAACCCCAGUCCUGCUUUCGAUACGGGUGGACUAGAGGUAGGCAGGGGAGAACGGAAUUCCUGGUGUAGCGGUGAAAUGCGCAGAUAUCAGGAGGAACACCGGUGGCGAAGGCGGUUCUCUGGGCCUUAACUGACGCUGAGGAGCGAAAGCGUGGGGAGCAAACAGG
rnacentral:rRNA from 1 species